AGAGUUUGAUCCUGGCUCAGGACGAACGCUGGCGGCGCGCUUAACACAUGCAAGUCGAGCGAGAACCAGGGCUUCGGCCCUGGGGACAGCGGCGAACGGGUGAGUAACACGUGGGUAACCUGCCCUCGGCACCGGAAUAGCCCGGGGAAACCCGGAUUAAUGCUGGAUAGCCUCGCGGACCCUCGGGUCUGUGAGAAAAGGUAGCUUCGGCUUCCGGCUGAGGAUGGGCCCGCGGCCGAUUAGCUUGUUGGUGAGGUAGCGGCUCACCAAGUGCGACGAUCGGUAGCUGGUCUGAGAGGACGAUCAGCCACACUGGGACUGAGACACGGCGCCAGACUCCUACGGGAGGCAGCAGUGGGGAAUCUUGGCGCAAUGGGCGAAAGCCUGACUCAGCGACUCCGCGUGCGGGACAGUAAGGCCUUCAGGGUCGUACUGCCGCUUUCACGAAGGGACUAUGGCCACUCAUGUCAAUAGCCGAGAGGGUGACGGUACCUCCAGACCAGGCACCGACUAUCUACGUGCCAGCAGCCGCGGUCAUACGUAAGGGGCUAGCCUCGUGCGCGAUUAAUNGAGGCGUAAACAGCAGUGCUAGGCUGGGUCAUCGUAGGAUCCGNAUGGGUUACAAACCCACGGACGGGCUUCAAGCCAUCGAAAUAACGGGCGUUCCGGCACCACGACUCAUGGCCUGGUGCUCCAGGAGCCAGGUAAACUGGAUUGUCUGGUGUGUCUGUGAAAUGCUCCCAUGUCCCGAACACCUGUUAUUGCNAAAACUGCCCUCUGUGACCGUCCUGACCCGAUUACGCUNAGAGCCUGGGGAUCCCAC
rnacentral:rRNA from 1 species